AACGAACGCUGGCGGCAUGCCUAACACAUGCAAGUCGAACGAGACCUUCGGGUCUAGUGGCGCACGGGUGCGUAACGCGUGGGAACCUGCCUUUAGGUUCGGAAUAACUCAGAGAAAUUUGAGCUAAUACCGGAUGAUGUCUUCGGACCAAAGAUUUAUCGCCUUUAGAUGGGCCCGCGUUGGAUUAGCUAGUUGGUGGGGUAAAGGCCUGCCAAGGCGACGAUCCAUAGCUGGUCUGAGAGGAUGAUCAGCCACACUGGGACUGAGACACGGCCCAGACUCCUACGGAAGGCAGCAGUGGGGAAUAUUGGUCAAUGGGCGAAAGCCUGAUCCAGCAAUGCCGCGUGAGUGAUGAAGGCCUUAGGGUUGUAAAGCUCUUUUACCCGAGAUGAUAAUGACAGUAUCGGGAGAAUAAGCUCCGGCUAACUCCGUG
rnacentral:rRNA from 1 species